rnacentral:rRNA from 1 species
UGAGUAAUGUAUGGGGAUCUGCCUGAUGGCGGGGGAUAACUACUGGAAACGGUAGCUAAUACCGCAUAAUGUCUGCGGACCAAAGCGGGGGACCUCCGGGCCUCGCGCCAUCAGAUGAACCCAUAUGGGAUUAGCUAGUAGGUAAGGUAACGGCUUACCUAGGCGACGAUCCCUAGCUGGUCUGAGAGGAUGAUCAGCCACACUGGGACUGAGACACGGCCCAG